UACGUAGGCAGCAAGCGUUGUUCGGAGUUACUGGGCGUAAAGGGUGCGUAGGCGGCUUUUUAAGUUUGGUGUGAAAUCUCCCGGCUCAACUGGGAGGGUGCGCCGAAUACUGAGAGGCUAGAGUGUGGGGAGAGGAGAGUGGAAUUCCUGGUGUAGCGGUGAAAUGCGCAGAUAUCAGGAAGAACACCCGUGGCGAAGGCGGCUCUCUGGAACGCAACUGACGCUGAGACGCGAAAGCGUGGGGAGCAAACAGG
rnacentral:rRNA from 1 species